rnacentral:misc_RNA from 1 species
AACAUCGCGCACCUGCGGGAACCUGCGGAAGGAUCAUUAACGCGCCGUGGAGGUCACCUUUAAACAGGUCUGACCUUCCACCUGGCCACCCUUGUUUAUCUUUAACCUGUUGCUUUGGUGGGCCCGCUGCAAGGCCGCCGGAGAAUCUAAAAGUUUUCUGGCCUGUGCCCACCAAAGUCCUAGUGAACUCUUUGUUAAUUUUCUGCUGUCUGAGCAUUAAAAAGCAAAUUUUUAAAACUU